CACACGACUCUCGGCAACGGAUAUCUCGGCUCUCGCAUCGAUGAAGAACGUAGCGAAAUGCGAUACCUGGUGUGAAUUGCAGAAUCCCGCGAACCAUCGAGUCUUUGAACGCAAGUUGCGCCCGARGCCACUCGGGCGAGGGCACGCCUGCCUGGGCGUCACGC
rnacentral:rRNA from 1 species